ACUCCUACGGGAGGCAGCAGCGGGGAAUAUUGCACAAUGGGCGCAAGCCUGAUGCAGCCAUGCCGCGUGUAUGAAGAAGGCCUUCGGGUUGUAAAGUACUUUCAGCGGGGAGGAAGGUGUUGUGGUUAAUAACCGCAGCAAUUGUCGUUACCCGCAGAAGAAGCACCGGCUAACUCCGUGCCAGCAGCCGCGGUAAU
rnacentral:rRNA from 1 species